AUGUCAAGUACUACUACAAAAAUAGAGGAGUUUUUUCUGGAGUUCUUGAAGGUGGAUGAUACAUCCAGACUUGGACUUUAUAAUGUGUUAAUAGAUUCACUUAAAUCUGUUGGUUUGGAUGUUAAAGAUGUUCGUGGACAAGGGUAUGACAAUGGUUCGAACAUGAAGGGAAAACACCAAGGGGUACAUAGCAGAGUACUUGAAACUAAUCCAAGAGCAUUAUUCAUGCCAUGCGCUUGUCAUAGCCUGAACCUUACUCUUAGUGAUAUGGCAAAAUCUUGCGAAAGAUGGCAGCUAUUGCUUGAUCAUGUUCCAAAAAUGACAGUUAAGUCUUUGUGUAACACUCGAUGGGAGAGUCGAAUAAAGAGUGUUCAGGCUAUCAGAUAUCAAGCACCCGAGUUAAGAAAAGCAUUACUGGAAUUGAAGAGAACUUCUACCGAUGACGCCAAGACUAAGAGCGACGCAAAAUCUUUGGCUAGCAAGAAGUUGCAGUCUAAGUUUGUGUGCAUUGAUGUUACUCUUAAACAGAUUGAAGGUGCCAUCUCAUAUUUUAAGAAGUACAGAAAUGACGGCUUUGCAACUAGUCUGGAUAUUGCGAGAUCUAUUAUUUGA
rnacentral:rRNA from 1 species